rnacentral:misc_RNA from 1 species
UCUCCGUAGGUGAACCUGCGGAGGGAUCAUUACUGAGUGAGGGCCUUCGGGUCCGACCUCCAACCCUCUGUCGUCUGACUAUGUUGCCUCGGGCAGUGCCGCUCACGCGGCCGCCCGACGGACCAUUCAAACCCUGCAUCUUUGCGUCGGAGUCUCAAUGUAAAUUGAACUAAAACUUUCAACAACGGAUCUCUUGGUUCUGGCAUCGAUGAAGAACGCAGC